GACGAACGCUGGCGGCGUGCUUAAUACAUGCAAGUCGAACGCAGUGGGGACGGGUGAGGAACACGUGGGUAACCUCCCAUCAGAGGGGAUAACACUUGGAAACAGGUGCUAAACCGAUACUGAUGGAUGGACCUGUGGUGGAUUAGCUAGUUGGUGAGGUAACGGCUCACCAAGGCCACGAUGCAGAGCCGACCUGCGGGGAUGAUCGGCCACUCUGGGACUGAGACACGGCCCAGACUCCUACGGGAGGCAGCAGUGGGGAAUCUUCGGCAAUGGACGAAAGCCUGACUGAGCCACGCGGCGUGAUUGAAGAAGGUCUUCGGAUCGUAAAACACUUUUGUUAGAGAAGCGGUAUCUAACCAGAAAGCCACGGCUAACUACGUGCCAGCAGCCGCGGUAAUAC
rnacentral:rRNA from 1 species